rnacentral:rRNA from 1 species
UACGAGGGGGGCAAGCGUUGUCCGGAAUUAUUGGGCGUAAAGAGCUCGUAGGCAGUCUGUCGCGUCGGAUGUGAAAACCCAGGGCUCAACCCUGGGCCUGCAUUCGAUACGGGCAGACUAGAGUUCGGUAGGGGAGACUGGAAUUCCUGGUGUAGCGGUGAAAUGCGCAGAUAUCAGGAGGAACACCGGUGGCGAAGGCGGGUCUCUGGGCCGAAACUGACGCUGAGGAGCGAAAGCGUGGGGAGCAAACAGG